rnacentral:rRNA from 1 species
AGAACGAACGCUGGCGGCAUGCCUAACACAUGCAAGUCGAACGAGUGCCUUCGGGUGCUAGUGGCGCACGGGUGCGUAACGCGUGGGAAUCUGCCUUUCGGUACGGAAUAACUCAGGGAAACUUGUGCUAAUACCGUAUGACGUCGCGAGACCAAAGAUUUAUCGCCGAAAGAUGAGCCCGCGUAGGAUUAGCUAGUUGGUGGGGUAAAGGCCUACCAAGGCGACGAUCCUUAGCUGGUCUGAGAGGAUGAUCAGCCACACUGGGACUGAGACACGGCCCAGACUCCUACGGGAGGCAGCAGUGGGGAAUAUUGGACAAUGGGCGAAAGCCUGAUCCAGCAAUGCCGCGUGAGUGAUGAAGGCCUUAGGUUGUAAAGCUCGUUUUACCCGGGAUGAUAAUGACAGUACCGGAGAAUAAGCCCCGCUAACUCCGCGCCAGCAGCCGAC